UACGGGAGUGGCAAGCGUUAUCCGGAAUUAUUGGGCGUAAGGCGUCCGCAGGCGGUCUUGUAAGUCUGUUGUUAAAGCGUGGAGCUUAACUCCAUUUCAGCAAUGGAAACUGUAAGACUAGAGUGUGGUAGGGGCAGAGGGAAUUCCCGGUGUAGCGGUGAAAUGCGUAGAUAUCGGGAAGAACACCAGUGGCGAAGGCGCUCUGCUGGGCCAUAACUGACGCUCAUGGACGAAAGCCAGGGGAGCGAAAGGGAUUAGAUACCCCUGUAGUCCUGGCCGUAAACGAUGAACACUAGGUGUCGGGGGAAUCGACCCCCUCGGUGUCGUAGCCAACGCGUUAAGUGUUCCGCCUGGGGAGUACGCACGCAAGUGUGAAACUCAAAGGAAUUGACGGGGGCCCGCACAAGCGGUGGAGUAUGUGGUUUAAUUCGAUGCGACGCGAAGAACCUUACCAGGGUUUGACAUCCUGCGAAUCUCUUGGAAACGAGAGAGUGCCUUCGGGAACGCAGUGACAGGUGGUGCAUGGCUGUCGUCAGCUCGUGUCGUGAGAUGUUGGGUUAAGUCCCGCAACGAGCGCAACCCACGUCGUUAGUUGCCAGCAUUUAGUUGGGCACUCUAGCGAGACCGCCGGUGAUAAACCGGAGGAAGGUGUGGAUGACGUCAAGUCAUCAUGCCCCUUACAUCCUGGGCUACACACGUACUACAAUGCUACGGACAAAGGGCAGCAAACUCGCGAGAGCUAGCAAAUCCCAUAAACCGUGGCUCAGUUCAGAUCGUAGGCUGCAACUCGCCUACGUGAAGGAGGAAUCGCUAGUAAUCGCAGGUCAGCAUACUGCGGUGAAUACGUUCCCGGGCCU
rnacentral:rRNA from 1 species